GACGAACGCUGGCGGCGUGCUUAACACAUGCAAGUCGAGCGGUAAGGCCCUUUCGGGGGGUACACGAGCGGCGAACGGGUGGAGUAACACGUGGGUGACCUGCCCUCAGCUCUGGGAGUAAGCCUGGGAAACCGGGGUCUAAUACUGGAUAUGACUCCAUGACGCAUGUUGUGGGGUGGAAAGCCUUGUGCGGCUGAGGAUGGGCCCGCGGCCUAUCAGCUUGUUGGUGGGGUGANGGCCUACCAAGGCGACGACGGGUAGCCGGCCUGAGAGGGCGACCGGCCACACUGGGACUGAGACACGGCCCAGACUCCUACGGGAGGCAGCAGUGGGGAAGUCUUGCGCAAUGGGCGAAAGCCUGACGCAGCGACGCCGCGUGAGGGAUGACGG
rnacentral:rRNA from 1 species